AACGAACGCUGGCGGCAUGCCUAAUACAUGCAAGUCGAACGAGAUCUUCGGAUCUAGUGGCGCACGGGUGCGUAACGCGUGGGAAUCUGCCCUUGGGUUCGGAAUAACAGCGGGAAACUGCUGCUAAUACCGGAUGAUGACGUAAGUCCAAAGAUUUAUCGCCCAGGGAUGAGCCCGCGUAGGAUUAGGUAGUUGGUGGGGUAAAGGCCUACCAAGCCUACGAUCCUUAGCUGGCCUGAGAGGAUGAUCAGCCACACUGGGACUGAGACACGGCCCAGACUCCUACGGGAGGCAGCAGUAGGGAAUAUUGGACAAUGGGGGCAACCCUGAUCCAGCAAUGCCGCGUGAGUGAUGAAGGCCUUAGGGUUGUAAAGCUCUUUUACCCGGGAUGAUAAUGACAGUACCGGGAGAAUAAGCCCCGGCUAACUCCGUGCCAGCAGCCGCGGUAA
rnacentral:rRNA from 1 species